rnacentral:rRNA from 1 species
CGAGGUCCAUGGAGCUUGCUCCGGAAGACCUAGUGGCGAACGGGUGCGUAACACGUGAGAAACCUGCCCCGGACUUGGGAAUAACAGUCGGAAACGACUGCUAAUACCGAAUACCUUCACACCGUCGCAUGGCGGAGUGAAGAAAGCUUUUGCGGUUUGGGAGGGUCUCGCGGCCUAUCAGCUAGUUGGUGAGGUAACGGCUCACCAAGGCAUCGACGGGUAGCUGGUCUGAGAGGAUGAUCAGCCACACUGGGACUGAGACACGGCCCAGACUCCUACGGGAGGCAGCAGUGGGGAAUAUUGCACAAUGGGCGCAAGCCUGAUGCAGCAACGCCGCGUGCGGGAAGAAGGCCCUAGGGUUGUAAACCGCUUUCAGCAGGGAAGAAAAUGACGGUACCUGCAGAAGAAGGUGCGGCCAACUACGUGCCAGCAGCCGCGGUGACACGUAGGCACCAAGCGUUGUCCGGAUUUAUUGGGCGUAAAGAGCUCGUAGGCGGUUUUGUAAGUCGGGUGUGAAAACUCUGGGCUCAACCCAGAGAGGCCACCCGAUACUGCAAUGACUUGAGUACGGUAGGGGAGCGGGGAAUUCCUGGUGUAGCGGUGAAAUGCGCAGAUAUCAGGAGGAACACCAGUGGCGAAGGCGCCGCUCUGGGCCGUAACUGACGCUGAGGAGCGAAAGCAUGGGUAGCAAACAGGAUUAGAUACCCUGGUAGUCCAUGCCGUAAGCGUUGGGCACUAGGUGUGGGUCUCAACCAACGAGAUCCGCGCCGUCGCUAACGCAUUAAGUGCCCCGCCUGGGGGAGUACGGUCGCAAGACUAAAACUCAAAGGAAUUGACGGGGGGCCCGCACAAGCAGCGGAGCGUGUUGCUUAAUUCGAUGCAACGCGAAGAACCUUACCUGGGUUUGACAUGUAGGGAAAAGCUCUAGAGAUAGGGUGUCCUUUCGGGGCCUCUACACAGGUGGUGCAUGGGCUGUC